AAAUUCUCUGGAAGGUCUCGCAAAUACUGCUUCAGCAAACUGGCUACAGUGUUAGGCUCAUAGUCUUCCAAGUUUGUAGACUCCUCCCGGUCAUAGGCUGCUUUUAGCUCAUCCACCUUUGAUUUAAUUCCUUAAAACAUUCAAAUUCAGAAGAGAGAAGAUACUGAGAAAAGAAAAUCAAACACACAAGUUUUCUUUACCAUUAUCCCCACCCUUGCUAAGGAGAUGAGAACAGCAACCUGACCAAUAACAAACCUCUUGUUAUGAAAUAUUUAUCUGCACAAAGGUCGUACAGUUCCUCUGUAAACACUAACAUAUAAGACUACACUUGGCUGGGCGCAGUGGCUCACACCCGUAAUCCCAGCACUUUGGAAGGCUGAGGCAGGCAGAUAGCUUGAGCCCAGGAAUUCGAGACUAGCUGGACAACAUGGUCAAAAUCUAUCUCUACAAAAAAUACAAAAAUUAGCUGGGCAUGGUGGCGUGCGCCUGUGGUCCAAGUUCUUUGGGAGGCUGAGUUGGGAGGAUCACUUGAUCCAGGGAGGUUGAGUCUGCAGUGAGCCAUAAUUGCACCACUGUACUCCAGCCUGGGCAACAGAGUAAGACACUGUCUCAAAAAAAAAAAUAAUAAUUAAAAACAGGCCAGGCACCAUGGAUCACACCUGUAAUCCCAGCACUUUGGGAGGCCAAGGCAGGAGGAUUAUUUGAGGUCAGGAGUCCAACACCAGCCUGGCUAACAUGGCGAAAAUGUUCUGACUGUUGAGCUUUUCAAUUAUCAUUUAACUUUUGGUUAAAUUCACUUUUGAAGUUAGUUUUUUGGGUUUUGUUUUUUGUUUUGUUUUUUGUUUUUAGAUGGAGUCUUGCUCUGUCACCCAAGCUGGAGUGCAGUGGUGUGAUCUCGGCUCACUGCAACCUCUGCCUCCCAGGUUCAAGUGAUUCUCCUGCCUCCGCCUCCCAAGUAGCUGGGAUUACAGGCGCACACCACCACGCCUGGCUAAUUUUUGUAUUUUUAGUAGAGNNNNNNNNNNUAAAAAAGUAACAUUUUAGCAAAAAUACUCUUAAAUAAUGGCAUGUAAUCUAGUGGAUUAUGUAACGGUUUUCCCAAUUAUCAAAAAUAUCUGCCCUUUCUCAGCAAAACUUAAGUAUCAAAUCUACCUUCUAGAAUUGCGUAUGAACCAACUAAAUGAAAAAACUAAGUCUAUCUCUCUAUAUAUUCCACAUGUGUAUGACUUAACAACUCAUCAUGAAAGUACUUGUGACCAACAAGUAUUAUUAUUAUUAUUUUUGAGACAAGGUCUCAAUCUCGCCCUGGCUGGAGUGCAGUGGUACGAUCAUGGCUCACUGCAGCCUCAAACUCCUGGGUUCAAGUGAUCCUCCUGCCUCAGCCAACAAUUAACUUUAUAAAACAAAUCUCUAAACAGAAACUGAUGAGGUACCAAGCAGUUACCAUCCUUACAA
rnacentral:lncRNA from 1 species